rnacentral:tRNA from 1 species
GACACCGUGGCCGAGCGGUUAAGGCGGUAGAUUCGAAUUGAGGUAGCACAGUACGUCCAUAGACUACACUUCCUACGAACAAUCUACUUCGUUUCACGAGCGUAGGUUCGAAUCCUGCCGGUGUCG